rnacentral:rRNA from 1 species
AUGGCCUCAAGCUCCACCGCCGCCGCCGCUGCACCAGCCCUCAUUCCCAUCGCCGAACGCCUCCAUCGCUCCAACUUCCUAGUGUGGCGUGCCCAAGCCAUUGCUGCCAUCCGCGGCGCUCAGCUCGUCGCCUACAUCAACCCCGACAGAGAAGAUCCGGCGCCCAAGCUCAUGGACAAGGAGGGCAAGCCAACAGAUGCGCCCAAUCCGGCGUACGAGAUCGCCAGGGCAGGAUUCCCAGGUUUUGAGUUUUCUGUUCAAUUCAAUCUCACCUCCUGUGAUGAUCCAGAUCGCCCACUGCACCACGACCUCAGCAGCACGGACUGCCAUCACGGAGAUGUUCAUCUCCCAAACCCAGGCGCACGUGGUGAACACGAGGAUCGCCCUGUCAAACACCAAGAAGGGCACCUCCACUAUCGCCGAGUAUAUCGGCCGCAUGAAGGCGCUCGGAGAUGA